GUCUACGCCCAUGCUACCCCGAACAAGCCCGAUCCUGUCUGAUCUCGGAAGCUAAGCAGGGUUGGGUCUGGUUAGUACUUGGGAGACCACUUAGGAAGACCAGGUGCUGUAGACG
rnacentral:rRNA from 1 species